rnacentral:rRNA from 1 species
UACGAAGGGGGCUAGCGUUGUUCGGAAUUACUGGGCGUAAAGCGUGCGCAGGCGGCUUCUCAAGUCAGGGGUGAAAGCCCAGAGCUCAACUCCGGAAUUGCCUUUAAGACUGCAUCGCUAGAACGUCGGAGAGGUAAGUGGAAUUCCGAGUGUAGAGGUGAAAUUCGUAGAUAUUCGGAAGAACACCAGUGGCGAAGGCGACUUACUGGACGACCGUUGACGCUGAGGUGCGAAAGCGUGGGGAGCAAACAGG